rnacentral:rRNA from 1 species
GACGAACGCUGGCGGCGUGCCUAAUACAUGCAAGUUGAGCGCUGAAGGUUGGUACUUGUACCAACUGGAUGAGCAGCGAACGGGUGAGUAACGCGUGGGGAAUCUGCCUUUGAGCGGGGGACAACAUUUGGAAACGAAUGCUAAUACCGCAUAAAAACUUUAAACACAAGUUUUAAGUUUGAAAGAUGCAAUUGCAUCACUCAAAGAUGAUCCCGCGUUGUAUUAGCUAGUUGGUGAGGUAAAGGCUCACCAAGGCGAUGAUACAUAGCCGACCUGAGAGGGUGAUCGGCCACAUUGGGACUGAGACACGGCCCAAACUCCUACGGGAGGCAGCAGUAGGGAAUCUUCGGCAAUGGACGAAAGUCUGACCGAGCAACGCCGCGUGAGUGAAGAAGGUUUUCGGAUCGUAAAACUCUGUUGGUAGAGAAGAACGUUGGUGAGAGUGGAAAGCUCAUCAAGUGACGGUAACUACCCAGAAAGGGACGGCGAACUACG